AGCAGCCGCGGUAAUUCCAGCUCCAAUAGCGUAUAUUAAAGUUGUUGCAGUUAAAAAGCUCGUAGUUGAACUUCAGGCCUGGCUGGGCGGUCCGCCUUCCGGGCGAGUACUGCCUGUGGUCGGGUCCUACCUUCUGGCGAAGCGUCAUGGCCUUAACCGGCCGUGGCGGGGAACCAGGACUUUUACUGUGAAAAAAUUAGAGUGUUCAAAGCAGGCACGCGCUUGAAUACAUUAGCAUGGAAUAAUGGAAUAGGACAGUGGUUCUAUUUGUUGGUUUCUAGGACCGUUGUAAUGAUUAAUAGGGAUAGUUGGGGGCAUUAGUAUUCAAUUGUCAGAGGUGAAAUUCUUGGAUUUAUUGAAGACUAACUACUGCGAAAACAUUUGCCAAGGAUGUUUUCAUUAAUCAAGAACGAAAGUUAGGGGAUCGAAGACGAUCAGAUACCGUCGUAG
rnacentral:rRNA from 1 species